rnacentral:piRNA from 1 species
UACAAUAAGGUAACAUUGAAACAGAACAUA